rnacentral:rRNA from 1 species
UACGUAGGCAGCGAGCGUUGUUCGGAGUUACUGGGCGUAAAGGGUGUGUAGGCGGUUGUUUAAGUUUGGUGUGAAAUCUCCCGGCUCAACUGGGAGGGUGCGCCGAAUACUGAAUGACUUGGAGUGCGGGAGAGGUGAGUGGAAUUCCUGGUGUAGCGGUGAAAUGCGUAGAUAUCAGGAGGAACACCGGUGGUGUAGACGGCUCACUGGACCGUAACUGACGCUGAGGAGCGAAAGCGUGGGGAGCGAACAGG